rnacentral:rRNA from 1 species
ACUACCUUGUGCUUUGGGACGUCGGUCUCGAGCCGCUGGGGAUUCGUCCCAGGCGAGCGCCCGCCAGAGUUAAACCAAACUCUUGUUAUUUAACCGGUCGUCUGAGUUAAAAUUUUGAAUAAAUCAAAACUUUCAACAACGGAUCUCUUGGUUCUCGCAUCGAUGAAGAACGCAGCGAAAUGCGAUAAGUAAUGUGAAUUGCAGAAUUCAGUGAAUCAUCGAAUCUUUGAACGCACAUUGCGCCCCUUGGUAUUCCGAGGGGCAUGCCUGUUCGAGCGUCAUUACACCACUCAAGCUAUGCUUGGUAUUGGGCGUCGUCCUUAGUUGGGCGCGCCUUAAAGACCUCGGCGAGGCCACUCCGGCUUUAGGCGUAGUAGAAUUUAUUCGAACGUCUGUCAAAGGAGAGGAACUCUGCCGACUGAAACCUUUAUUUUUCUAGGUUGACCUCGGAUCAGGUAGGGAUACCC